AGGAUCCAGUAGAAGGCAAAGCAAAAGAUUAAAAAAAAAACAUAUCUCGAGCACUAAAAAAUUGGUUUCACUUAGUGAAAGGGAAGCAAGGUCUUUCCUGUAUAAAUUUGCAUAUGGCAGAUGGGAUAGAGAGCACAACUUCAAUGAUUAAGGGUGAAAUACUCAAAUGCAAUUCUUACACCUCACUUGAAUGAAUACAAAGAGAUUGAACCAAAGCGGGCAAAAGGCUUCUACAAAAAGAUUGCAAACAAGACACUCAUGUCCAUUGUACUUGCAUCAAGUUCAAAGAAACCCAAGAACACAGAGAUUCAUAGAAAUGUUAUAUUUUCAGACAUUGAAACAGAACAUGAA